GGGAGCCGCCAAGGGGGCUCGAACCCCUGACCUUCUGUUUACAAGACAGAUGCUCUACCAGCUGAGCUAUAGCGGC
rnacentral:tRNA from 1 species